UUGAGCAUCAAACUUUUAAAUUGAAGAGUUUGAUCAUGGCUCAGAUUGAACGCUGGCGGCAGGCCUAACACAUGCAAGUCGAACGGUAACAGG
rnacentral:rRNA from 1 species